rnacentral:rRNA from 1 species
UACGUAGGGUGCAAGCGUUAAUCGGAAUUACUGGGCGUAAAGCGUGCGCAGGCGGUUGUGUAAGACAGAUGUGAAAUCCCCGGGCUUAACCUGGGAACUGCAUUUGUGACUGCACGGCUGGAGUGCGGCAGAGGGGGAUGGAAUUCCGCGUGUAGCUGUGAAAUGCGUAGAUAUGCGGAGGAACACCGAUGGCGAAGGCAAUCCCCUGGGCCUGCACUGACGCUCAUGCACGAAAGCGUGGGGAGCAAACAGG